rnacentral:lncRNA from 1 species
UUCCGCUCAAGUUCCUCCGCCGCGACCUCAGGACAGGCCGAAGAGGCGCGCACUACUCACGUGUCUUCCAAGUGCUGCUCCAAGGUCGCCUCCAUCCCACCCACCGACCACUCCGGCUCAGAACCCAGCGGCACGGCACGUCCUUCUCCACCACAGGCCUCAGUCACUUGACGCGAGCGGGGCGUGGACCGUAACGGCGCCUCCAAAGGGACAAAAUUGAUCACGGUGCAACGUCCGCGUUCUUUACUGGAAAACAUCACUGCGCUUCCGUCGCACAGAGCCUGACGAAGGCUUGGGCUCCCCGCGCGGUGACCGUCGAGGUGACCUGCACCUGGCUCCAUGGCGGAACCGGCCGGCACGGAUUAUUCCCCUCUCGGGAGAGGUCUGCAGCCGGGCCUCAGUGCUUCAGUUCGUGGCCUGGCAUUUUGUGUCAGUGUUUUUUAACCUUUGGACCCUAGUUCAACCGACUCCGAGACCUAGGGGACAGAUCUUAAGUUUUACAAUAACCCAGGGGUCAGACAGGGUCUGAUCUAGCCUGUGGGGCAAGUACGGGGAAGACACGGGACCUCUUGGAGGGGGUCAGUAGGCUUGUAGGGGGAAAGACGCACACAGAGACUAAAGGACGAGAUGGAGCAAGGUUCAACCCCCUAGCUGAGUGUUGGCAGUGUCGGGAUUUUAACGAAGACAUUGGUGCUUAUUAUGGUGAGGGGACUCAGGACAGUUUAGGGGAAGAGAGUGGCAUUUGAGUCCUAACUCGUAAGGAAGACUGGGUAGGACUACUUGAAAAUAACUUUUAAAAAUUAAUUAUAAAGCUGGUAAAAAUAGGAAAACAUCUAUGGCCCCACUGUCCAAAGACGACUUUUAACUUCUUGGAGAAUAUCCUUUCAGAUAGUUGUCUUUGUAAAUGUAUACUUUUAAUGUUUUUUCGUUUGCCUUUUUAAAAUAAAUUUUUUGGGGGACAGGGUCUUGCUCUGUUACCCAGGCUGUAGUGCAGUAGAACGAUUAUAGCUCAUUGCAACCCGGACGUCCUGGGUUCAAGCUAUCCUCACCUCUCAGCCUCUCGACUGGCUAGGACCACAGCCUCGAGCCAUCAUGUCUGGCUAAUUUUUACGUUUUUUUGUAGAGAUGGGGGUCUCGCUGUGUUGUCCAGGCUGGUCUUAAACUCCUUGCUUCAACAGAUCCUCCCACUCCAGCCUCCCAAAAUGUGAUUACAGGCUGAGUCACCACGCCUAGCAUGGUUUUUUUUGUUUUGUUUGUUUUGUAAGCAAAAUUGACAUACAUACUGGAGGUACAAUUCUGUAGCUGGCCUUCUUUACAGAGUUUAGAAUAAAUGUCUUUCCAUGUCAAGUUUUCACUUACAUCCUUUGUAGUAGUUGCAAAAUAUUCCAUUUUAUAGCUGUAUCUUAAUUGUGGAUUAAGGUUGGAGUGCAGUGGCACUAUCAUGGCUUAGUCCAGCCUCAGCCUUCUAGGUUCAAGCGAUCUUCCCACCUCAGCCUCCCAAGAAGCUGGGACUACAGGGACCCGCCACCCCACCUAGCUAAUUAAAAAAAAAAUUGUAGAGAUGGAGUCUCAGUGUGUAGCCCAGUCUCAAGUGACCCUCCCUCGUUGGCUUCCCAAAGCGCUGAGAUUGCAGGAAGAGUGUCUUCAUCUCUGCAUCCCUAGUGCAACAGAGCAUGACAAAAAUUCAACAAAUAUUUAUUGAAGAGUCUUGAUGUCUUUUGGGAAAGGAACUCUAUGGUUACCUUUACUCUAAGGUAAAGAAAUUUAGGUCCUGAACUUUAACCACCUUCUCCUCUUCUUUCUUCCCUCUUUCAUAAAUGAGCUCUUGGAAAAUUAAAAUGCCAGGAGGGUCCAGCAGAGAAUACCCAAGCCCACAUGUCCUGAUGGGAAGUGGGGGAUAAGUAGAGAGGGAAACACAGACCCUGUAGGCCAUCUCACUGCUGCUGGCCCAGGGGACCCUAACUCCUUUUGUUGACUCAUCAGAAGUAGAAUCCUCCUGAGGGUCUGUUUAAGAAGCACAGCUCUGGUAGAAAGGGUAGCUUUCCUAUGGGUACGGAGGGCUCUGCUACCCCAGGGCUAUCCACACUGGCCUGUGAAUCACUCUCAAAUGCUUAGGGUCACGGGCUUUCAGUGGAAUGAGCCCUCAUGUGCCACCAGGGGGCACCAAGGCCACAGAAAACCCUAUUCAGAAGGUUCUGGGGUGAGGGAAAGGAAUCCACGGGUUUGUGGAGCUGGCGGAGCAUGGGUGAGGACAGCAUUAUGCUAGGUUGGUGGCCUUGAAGUCAGAUGUAAAUUGGGAUCCUGGCUUGGCCACUGACUAUCCAUGGGAACUUUGAAUCUCAGGGGGCUCAUUUGUGAUGUGGGGGUACCAUUAUCUGCCUCAUCAGGUUGUGGGGAGGAUUAUAUGAGAUACCUUAUGUAAGAGGGGCUGGUGCAUUGUGGAAGUCAACAAGUAAGUUUUGUUAAAUUUGAGUAAGAAGACCUGUUUGUUUCCUCAAGUUGCUUAUAAUCUAGGUGAGGACACAUCUGAGAGAAUAACUAAUAGUUCAGUGAAGGUAAGAGCCAAAUGAUUGGCACAGACCUCAAGUGGUCUGGCAUUUACGGGAGAGGGGGAUUGUGAAACAGGAAUUGAAAGAAAUUUAAAAAUGCAUAAGCAAAAACUCAGUUUAUGUUUUAAAAAAACCAAUUCCCCCUGAGAAAGAGAAAGAGGUGGAGUCCUUUAAAAAUUAUCUGCUUGUUUUUCUGUCUGUGGCUAGUGAGCCUUAUCUCUCCCUUUCCCAGGCAUUGUGAAGACCCUGUUUCUCUAGCUGUGCAGCUGCAAGGUCACUAGGCAGAUAAACUCAAGCCAUAAAACAUGUUUUUCCUUGAAAAGUAAGAAAUAAUGUAAUGCAUGUGUCAAAUGAAUAACUAUUUCUCGCUUCUGUAAUAUGCUUCCCUUCGCACAGAUCUCCCCCUGCCCCAUGAAAUGCUUUAAAGGUAACUUAACUCUUUGUUCGGGGCUCAGUCCUUUGGAUGUUAAUCUGACUGGCUUGGUGCACCUAAAUAAUAAAUAACAUAUAUCCUCCUCAACCCCUCAGUCUCUCUGAUUCCUAAAUUAUCCCGCUGUAAUUGCAGGGCUAGAUUUGCCGACCUGCUUUAUAAAGCUAUGUUAAAUCAGUAUAUUUUAUUCUUUUUAUUAGACUUUUCUAUAGCAUAAAAAUGAUAAAAUACAGCAAGAAAAAAAGUCACCUGAAACUCUAGUCCUAACCCUAAUAUGAAUGUGAAGGAGCUGGGCUAGAAUGGAAUAGGGUAGAAUUUGCAUAAGGUGGAAAUGGGGACAGGCCUGUCACAAGGAUCACUAGAGUCUUGCUGGCAAAAGCAUCUUACUGCAUUCAUGCUGCAGCACAGGACCCAGAUGCAGAACAGGUUGGGGACACAGCCCUGCCUUCUAAUAGUGGACACCAUCUGAGAGCUGAGCCAUAGAUUCAAAGCCUAACUCCUAAUAGCGAUUGGUAGUAAUAUCAUCAGCAGUUCAUAUACAUGGAGUGACAACAGCGUGCCAGGCAAUUCAAAGGGUCUCUCGGUCCUCACAGCAUUUUUGAAGUAGCUAACAUCACUAUCCCCCUUUUACAG